AACGAACGCUGGCGGCAUGCCUAACACAUGCAAGUCGAACGAGACCUUCGGGUCUAGUGGCGCACGGGUGCGUAACGCGUGGGAACCUGCCCUUAGGUUCGGAAUAACUCCCCGAAAGGGGUGCUAAUACCGGAUAAUGUCUUCGGUCCAAAGAUUUAUCGCCUUUGGAUGGGCCCGCGUUGGAUUAGCUAGUUGGUAGGGUAAAAGCCUACCAAGGCGACGAUCCAUAGCUGGUCUGAGAGGAUGCUCAGCCACACUGGGACUGAGACACGGCCCAGACUCCUACGGGAGGCAGCAGUGGGGAAUAUUGGACAAUGGGCGAAAGCCUGAUCCAGCAAUGCCGCGUGAGUGAUGAAGGCCUUAGGGUUGUAAAGCUCUUUUACCCGGGAUGAUAAUGACAGUACCGGGAGAAUAAGCUCCGGCUAACUCCGUG
rnacentral:rRNA from 1 species